rnacentral:rRNA from 1 species
UAGUGCGGUAGCGUAUGCGUUAAGUGUACCGCCUGGGGAGUACGGCAGCAAGGCUGAAACUCAAAGGAAUUGACGGGGGCCCGCACAAGCGGUGGAGCAUGUGGUUUAAUUCGAUGAUACGCGAAGAACCUUACCAGCGCUUGACAUCCUAUGAAUUUAGCAGAGGAUAUUUGGUGCUUUUGGGAAACGAGUUACGAGCAAGUCACGGCUGUUGUCCUUUUUGUUUCUGAGAAAAGGGGUUAAUUCCCCAACGAGGGCAAUCCUUUUCUUCAGUUGCCAGCAUCUUGGUUUGGAACCCUAAGGAGACUUCCGGGGAUAAAAAGGAGGAAAAGGGGGAGGAGGUCAAGUCUUCAUGGGCCCUACAGGCUUGGUUUCACACCCGUUACACAUGUUGGUACAGAAAGCAGAGAAAUGCAGAGAGUAAGACCAUCUCACAAAAACACUCUUUGUCCGGAUCGCAGUGUGCAACUAGUAUCCCCCAAAUCGGAAUCGUUAUAGAUCGCUGAUCAGCGCUUCCCCGGGGAAUACGUUUCCGGGCCGUGGACACCACCCCCCUCCCCCCCCGGAGCCGCUGCCCCAUAAGGAGAGAUUUUCCCCGGGAGGACGAUUACCACGCGUCCCAAGAGUGGGGAAGUCGUAACAAGGUAACCAAGGGCGAA